rnacentral:rRNA from 1 species
CCCGCUGAACUUAAGCAUAUCAAUAAGCGGAGGAAAAGAAACUAACAAGGAUUCCCCUAGUAACUGCGAGUGAAGCGGGAAGAGCUCAAAUUUAAAAUCUGGCGUGCCUUGGGUGUCCGAGUUGUAUCCAGAGAAUGGUAUUCGCGGUGGACCGUGUGCAAGUCUCUGGGAACAGAGCAUCAUAGAGGGUGAGAAUCCCGUCUUUGACAUGGAACGACCAGUGUUUGNUGAUGCGCUCUCAAAGAGUCGAGUUGUUGGGAAAUGCAGCUCAAAAUGGGGUGGUAAAAUUCCAUCUAAGGUUAAUAUUAGGCGAGAGACCCGAUAGCGAACCAAGUACCGUGAGGGAAAAGAUGAAAAGGACUUUGGAAAAGAGAGUUAAAACAGUACGGGAAAUUGCUGAAAAGGAAACGCUUGAAGUCAGUCGCGUCGUCCAGGGAUCACCCUUGCUUUCUGCUGGUGCACUUUUCUGGUUCGAUGGGUCAGCAUCAAUUUCGACUGUUGAAGAAAGGUCAUAGGGAAUGUGGCAUCUUUGGAUGUGUUAUAGCCCUUGGUCACAUACAACGGUUGGGAUUGAGGACCUCAGCACGCCGCAAUGCCCGGUUUUCACCCACGUACGUGCUUAGGAUGCUGGCAAUAUGGCUUUAAUCGACCCGUCUUGAAACACGG